CGAUGCAACGCGAAGAACCCUUACCUGGUCUUGACACGUCCGGACGUACCCGUUAGGAAACUAGGGGGUGCUUCCAUCUGGAAGAAUCUGGAGACAGGUGCUGCAUGGCUGUCGUCAGCUCGUGUCGUGAGAUGUUGGGUUAAGUCCCGCAACGAGCGCAACCCUUGCCUUUAGUUGCCAGCAGUUCGGCUGGGCACUCUAAAGGGACUGCCGGUGUUAAACCGGAGGAAGGUGGGGAUGACGUCAAGUCCUCAUGGCCUUUAUGACCAGGGCUACACACGUACUACAAUGGCCGAUACAAAGGGCAGCGACACUGCGAGGUGAAGCCAAUCCCGUAAAAUCGGUCUCAGUCCGGAUUGGAGUCUGCAACUCGACUCCAUGAAGUUGGAAUCGCUAGUAAUCGUGGAUCAGCAUGCCACGGUGAAUACGUUCCCGGGCCUU
rnacentral:rRNA from 1 species